CUUUCUUCUAAUAGGAAAUUCUUGCUCUGGCUAAUAACACCACCAGUAAUGGACAGUAGUUAUUGAUCUGAGCUUGCUUUGAGACAGAUAUGAGCGAUCCUCUCUAGGCAGAGCUCUGGCAUGCCUGUGCUGACCCCCUUGUUACCAUGCCAAAGGAUUGGAGAGCAGGUGUUCUAAUUCGCCAGGGUCAUAUAGAGCAGAUAAGGACUACACCUAAUAUUAGAGUCAAUAUUGCAUCUACUAGAACACAACUCGGCACAACUUAUAGGG